rnacentral:tmRNA from 14 species
GCCAAGGGUAGUAACUCUCGUUAAUCAAUUACUGCAACUUUAUAGUUGCCAACGACGAUAGCUACGCCCUAGCAGCCUAACCGCUUGCUAGCGAUUACCGCCGGGAUGCCCGUAAACUGGUAUUUGGUAAUCGUCAUCUAGAACGGGAUCGCCAGUGGAACGCGCUUGACGUGAAGCGGCUAAAUAGUAUCAAGCUCGCCCAAAUCACCCUGCCCGUCGGGCCGAUACGGGUUAACUUAAUAGACGACGCUAUGCAUGUAGAG